CCUCCCCACCGUGCGGCCGGCACCUGUGACGUCACAGCCAGCACCAGCUGACGGCACGAUGGAGGAAGCGCCGGAGGGGCGGGGACCGCUGUAUUAAACAAGGGGUGGGACUCCAACAAGGGGGUGCGGCCUUCUGGGAAACCUGGAGUUCAGGGCUGGGGUAGAACUGCAGGGGAUAAAGCCGAAGUCGUUGUCUAAAGGCUGCAAACAAUUGUUUUUUGACGUGGUCAAGGUAAACUGCCCUUCAGCCUCCAGGAGAUUGAUUUCAUGAGCAGAGGUUUCCAUGUGGAAGCGGGCACUCUGUAACUCAGGGAUAACAAACCAAUCUGUGGUAUUGCACUAGGGAGAGAUCAGUCACCAAAGGAAAAGCAGGGUGUGUAAUAUACAGGAGUUCACAGACAGACCUACUGUUGGAUGAAAUCCUUCCAUGUGCUGAAAUGGGCUGCUGGGGGAAGCAAAAGGCCAUGCACCAUCACAUACAUGGCCUUCCUGCAAAAAAUAGAAAGAAGGGAAACAAAUUUAUCUUGCCAUGAAUAUUCAAGACAAAAACAAAAAAAGUGUUUUCUCACCUCAUCCUGCAAAGAACCUCACAUUUCCAUUUUAAUUGGGGAACUUGUAUUCAUCACUGAUGAUCCAUCUCAAUAUCUGCCUUCAAAUAUUCAGCAAAUUGCAAAUCAGUCCAAGACACCUAGAGGCAUAAAAAAUACCUGGAAAGACCUAAGCCAAGCCACACACUGUGCAGUUUUUAUUACAAGAGUGCCUCAAGUCCCCAAGUUGAAUUAGGGGACUUUAUUCUGAGAACUGUGCAGAAGUGGAUAAAGAAAAAAGUUCCCAGAUUACAAGUGACAAAAUACAUUGUGUCUUGUACUGUGUGUUUCAAAAAUCAAAAAUGAAUUACAGUAUCCUCUUUCCCAUGUAUAUCCUCAUGUCUGCCUUUAGCACUAGCUCAGACUCAUAGCAAAAAGGUUUCUUGUUCUCCUAAGAGAGUAUGUACAUAUGUACAACUGUAAGGAUGAUAGUCAGUUUUGGCUUGCUGUUUAUCACUCUUUCAGUAGAAAAUAAGACUUCUGUAGCCACAAAUAAACUUUCUGUGAGAGGAAUCUAAAUGAAUACA
rnacentral:lncRNA from 1 species